CGUAAAAUCGCUUCCGUUGGUGCUCGCGGCGUGGUUCACAGGCCGCAGUUCAACGGGAAGCAGGGAGGAGGCCCGCCAAGGGCCCUCCGGGCCUGCGCUGCCCCCGCAACGGUCAGCGGACGAGUCGCAUGCCGAUUCCCUCUCCAGCACACAGCCACUGCGCGCCUUGAACAAGCGCUGCGGGAAGGCGCUGGAGCGUGUUCCGCCAGCCCGGAUACCGGCCAACAUGGAGGUUGCCCG
rnacentral:ncRNA from 2 species